ensembl:lncRNA
ACAUUUUGAAGCAGCAGACAUUUUAAGAUGUCAUUCAGCAUUUCCUUGAACGUUUGACUUAUCUUAUUUUGAUCUGCUCCAAGCUUCCAUGUUCUUGCUUUUUCAAGAACUAGCUCCUCUAUUAGCUGAAAUAAAAACUGAGGUGGUGAACAGAAUCAAAAUUGUCUCAGCUAUGAUCUAUGAAAUUCUUGUUUUUGUGCAUAACAGUGACAAGAACCAUGCUGGCCAAAUGCUAGGCAAUCCAACACUGAAAAAAAAAAAUUACAGGUGUUAAGGAGAGUACUAAAUUCAUUGAAAUUUGUUGUGAGUAAAGAUGCAAAAUCUGUCUGCUCUGGAAAAAUGAUUGUUUUUCUAUUUUAUUUCUCUGUGGUAAAAAUCUAGGGGAGUGGCUUACGAGCUGGCAGGAACUUAAAAAAAGAAUAUGCAUGUAAUUCCUUGAAAGUUCAUCAUCCUUAAUGCAUUACCAUGAAAUGACUGAUUUUACGUUACUCAGCAUUUAACAUUGAAACUUCAUUUCCUUGGGUAACCAUUCUAGCUACCACAGUGCCAGGGGCUUAUGUAUCCUACCUGGUACAUAUUAGGUCCAUUUUGAGGAUAUAGGUUUGUUGCAUUUCUAAAGGGCAAAUAGCUUAUAUAAUUAGAUCAUAUCUUAGGAACUGUUGCUUUACUUCUCCCACCUUAAUGUAAAGAAAAGAAGAUAGGAAAACAUUUCUUCAACUAUCAUGUGAAAACAGACUAAUGUUAAUCUAGAAAAUAUUUAGGUACUUUACUCAUGAACGUUUAGCAUAAUUACUCUCCUGACAAAAUGCCAUGUGUGCAUAAUAAUGGCAGUGCUGUUGUGAAAAGCUUUCAGUGGUGAGGAAUAGCUAAAAAGAGGAAUCGAGGAGCCUAUUCCAUUAAAUUCUGUUUAGACAGGGAAAGCCAUACCUAAAGGAAUAUCUGCUAGGAUAUCAACUAUGAAGGAGUAGGGCCUGCAGCAGUAGGAAGGUAUUACAGCAUACUAAUUUAGUACUCUAUCUGCUAAAUUUAUUUUAUUCACUAGUUGCGAACUCAAGGCACAGUGUUUGCACUCAGCACUGCCUUUUCACUGCUUGUUGCCCACGUGUGACUUGAUUUUAACAUAACAACGCUCACAGCUUGGGGAACUAGAGCCUUAUGUUGGCACUUGUCAUUUAAAGUUGAAAGGAGGAAGCAUUUUGCUUAGCUUUUUUUUUUUUUUUUUUUUUCCACUGCAGAUUUUUCAGUUUGCUGCUACACUAUAAGAUAGGACCUGCUGGUUCCUAAAAACAAGUAAAUUCUCCUUGGGGCUAUUAUUAAUAGUAAAUUGAGUAAUUUGGAGCCAGGAAGAAUCAAGGAGUGGUUUGAGUGAGGAAUGCUUUCCACUGGCUGGCAAUGCAUUUUUGGGAGUUCUGCUUUUAAAUUAGCUAAUUCUCUUUCAUUGCUUGCUGUAGGCACCGUUAAGGAAGGAUACCUCAUGCUUUAUGGUUUCUUCUGAAAAGUAUGAGACAUGGUUGAAUUUUUUCAGCUCUCAGAGCAGCCAGUUUCAAUUAAAAAGGAACUGAGAUCUUUGUCAAAAGUUUCAGUUUAGCUGGCCAGGCCAAACAGACAGAACACCACAGAGGUGUGUUUCCUACGAAGUGUGCUCAUCUACGGGCUCAGCUGUGCAGAAGGAAGUGCACCCUGUCCUUCUCUCUUCCCCCAACAUCCUACAUGCUCCCAUUUCUUGUCUUAUGUUGCUCUGCUCAUUGCUUGGCACCUCUGUUAGCUCAGUAGUGUCAGGCAGUAAGGAACAGACCCAACAAGAUGGAUAAUCAUCCAUGGCAGUAGUGAGUAACAUUGGCUUAUAGAGAAGUUCAGUACCUGCCAGAGCCAUUACAAGGGAGGAAUAUGCAUUGUGUGGGCAGGUGAAGAAGGAAGAGGGAGCUGAGUAAGUGGGAGGAAAGAAGGGGACCUCUUCCUCUUAGGAGGAAAGCAUUAUCUUGGUGCAGCUUCCCACAAAGCUUUGCUUUCACUAAGUGAUGUUUUUGUUUUUCUUCUACUUUGCAACAUGUGGUUGUGAAAACAACAUGAGGCACCAAUUUCCAAAUGAGGUUUAACAUGAUCUCAGCCUGUGCUUUUACUUUCCCUGCUUCAUGCAGAGCCAAAUGUUUCUGCUACCUCUUUUAUUUCUGGAUAUGAAAGCCAAAAUCCUACAAAACCCGGAACUGUUUCCUUAGGAUCUUUCCUUGCAUACUUGCUGCAGGAAUUGUGAUGCAGGCAUAUGAGAGAAAAUAGUGUGGGCUGGAGCACUGUACAUCCACCAGUUUAUACUAGUUAGGAAACAGCACCUUAAAGGCUUGAGCAUCUGCCAGUAUUUAAUAUGCACCCUCCUGUGGGCAGCACAAAAUAUAAUAGUUUCCAAAGUUUUAUAAAAAGAGAAAUACAGUUUCUCAUUAUGUUUCAGGUACUUGUUUUUCAUCUGCUUAAAAAAAAAAAAAAAAAAAUUGGGUUUUCCUUGGCAUUCAGACUUUCCCAAUGAGAUUGAAGAUGAUAUGUUUACUAGUGACAAAGAGAGGAUGUGGUCAUCUAGUUCCAUUCCUAGCAUUUGACUUGUUGUGUUUCAUCAUUUCAUUUUUUGGAAAGGACUCUUAAUUCUUCUGACAUUAUCAUAGGCUGGAAGUAAGUAAGUACUUACUGCUGGCUAUCAAGGGGAAAAUACCUAUGUUAUUAUUCUGUGUUCAAGAAAUGUUUUAGUUGUUGCUCUAGAGGGUAUCUAAAAUUCUGUGAUACAAACUCUGAUAGUACAUGGAAUACUGUCCAUGGUAACAAGAUGCACUUUUAUUUUGAUGUGGAAAUAUACAUCUUCCCUCUUCUCAAUCCUGGGUAGACGGGUGCCUUCCUCUGGCAGACGUGCAGGUUCUCUAUGCAGUGCCUUUGGGAAAAUAUGUUUCCCUGAGAACAGUUCUCAGCACUCUUUCUGAUAGAGAAAACUGAUCCCUUAGCACAGCCUGGUGGCUGUUAGUGAGACAGCAAGCAAAAUAUAAAAUCACACAAUUAUAUGUGAGAGAGGAAGUGAUUGUAUUACUGCUGUAGGUGUGAUGGUCUCACUUUCCUGUAGAGCAAGUUCUAGAUGAGGUGAGAGUGGUUGUGGGAAAAUGGAGAUGCUGUCUGGCACACCAGCCCACUGUAGAUCUGAAAUAAUAACAGUAAAUUCAAGUGUAGUCUGAAGGGGAAAAAUGUUCUGUGCAGAGGUAGCUGCCAGAAAGAGAGGGAAAAUAUAUCUGAGUGGGGAAAGGAAAUGAUUGCAUUCAGAAUGGAGACAAAACCUGUCAUUAAACUCAUGUAUCAGAGUGGAUGAUCUUUAUUAUCUGCUUAUUUAACAUCAGUGAAUUUCAGCUAGCUCUGUAGACCACCCUAAAAGAUCAGGAUUGAAAAGUCACAGGUUUUUUUUUGUCAGAAAUGUUCGUACGGCAAUGUCAAGGACAAUGGUAUGAAGUAUCUGUGCAGCCUAGUAAAACCUAAAGCCAUGGCCAUGAUAUGGCACAUGAAGACAGAUGAAAAUUUGGAGGCAUCUCCACUGUCAUAGCCCUUGAAAAGGACACCAUCUUCCAAUCAUCUACUGGAUUAUUUUUGUUCUUACAGAUCUGCUGCUAAAGUACAGGGUAUGUUUCUAAGCUGUGCAUUUUCUUAACUCCUAUUUUUAUUGCAGGCAGUAAAUUCUUGGCUAACACUUAAGUUAAUAAAUUAUAGCAGUGGUGAAAAUGGCCCAGGUGGUGGUGUGCUUUUCUGUGAGAUUUGAGAAUUUCACUCUACAAAUGCCAGAAAGAGCCAUGAAUAAAAUUCCAUACUGCUGCAAAACACAUAUAUCACCUUUCCAGAUUGAUGUGAUAUUUCAUCAAGAGCAUCAUUUAUUUGCUGGGAAAUUAUUUAUUCUAGUAAACUCGCUGAUGACAAAUUGAAGAAUUGCAGGUGGCUACACCUUAUGUGUUGGUUCCAAAAUAGGUUUCUAAUACAAGAAAAAGGAUGAAUUAUAACGCUGCCGCUGGCUGGAAGAAGCAGGUGAAAGUACUCAAGGCUGAGGCAGCAAGAAAACAUCUGCACUUUGGAGGCACAAAUGUCUUGAAAAUGGGGGCAGAUAUCCCCCAUAUUAAACAAAGGAAGGGAAAUGGGGGAUUCAGAAGAGUGAAGAAGAUAGAGUUUGUGUGGCAGCACUAAUCAUACAAAAAUUUGAGCAUGAAAUAACCCCUGGGAACAAAGUCCAGGUAUAGAAAUGUAUCAGGUACCUCAUGUUGUCUGGUUUUGGUGAUAGUUUUAAAGUUAAGAUGAGAAAGUUUGAGUUAAUACUGGAUAUAUGAGAGGUUACGGAUGUCAGAGAGCACUGCAUCAUGCACCUAUCUUUGCUUUGCUUCUAGCAAAACUUGGUGUCUACUAAGAAGGUACUCAUGAUUGAAUACAGGAUCACAACAUGUUGGGAUUCAGGAGAAAUAUAAUUUAGGAUCUCUAUUAUAGAUCCUCCAGGAACAAAUGGGAUCAAUUCCGGGUAGGAGGUCCAGGGUAGACUGAAAUUUGUCUCUACGGUUGGUUUUGGUUUGACAUAAUGAGAACUAAAGGUGCAGAUUGUUAUUUGUAUCUUUAUCUGUAUUAUUAUCCUCUUAAUGUCCUUCUUAUCCUUGAACUGUAUUAUUAUCCUAUGACAAAGCUUAGAGCGUUUUGAAUGUACAUUUGAGAUACCAAACCUGUUUUCCAUUCACAGAUAAUAUGAUUUUGAUUAAAUCACUCCUAUCCAGUGAUUCAACCCCAUGUGUAGUAUGAUGUGCUGUUAGUAAGAAGCAUCAGAAGAAAGAUUUCCUCCCAGUUCCUCCCAGGAAUAAAAAGGUCUUGGUGGAUCAACAUAUGUCGGGUGUCUGAUGACUAGGACAGUCAAACUCUCAUGCUCUGAAAGAGGUACAAAUUAAGAAAUGGAGAAUGAUGGAAUCAACUUGUGAUGGAUCAGAAUUGCAUGUAUUAACAUGAAUUUCUUGUUAAUGGAGAAGACAAGCAUUAUCCAUAAAUGAAUUCUGAACAGGAGGCCUUCUAUUGCUGACACUAAUAACUAUAGUCUCCCUCUGUUUUGAUGGCCUCUGGAAUAAUACAGUUCAUUACAGAGCAACGCAAGACUAAUUUUUUUUAAGUACUUGAUAUAGCAUUUACAUUGUCUUUUAAUAUUGCCAUCAUUAUCUCUGUCAUUUGAAAUUCAGAUGUGGGAAGGCUUUUUUUUUUACUCCUAAACAAGCUAUGCUGUGGAGAUGGCAUAGACACUCUGUGCUCAAUGUAUAAUGUACCUUUAGGAGAAUUAGCAGCAUAAUUACGCAUUCACAGACACACUGUCUGUGUUUCUGUCUAGUAUGUGCGCUGUGGUAGUUUUAAAUUUGAAUGUGAAUAGCUAUCAGAGGUGUUUUUUAUUAAAAUAUAUAUCUUCUUAAUAUUUAAUUUCCUCAGGAUAGUUUUAAAAUAGAUUGAAGAGUUUGUUUCAACUUCAUGUUUAAACUCCUGUUUGAAUGGUCCUUGAAUUCAUCUGUGUGUGUAUUAAUGCACAUAGAUACCAAGUCAUGGAUUUGGGAAUAAAAAAAUAUGCUAAAGGAAGGUAACUGUGACACCUUCAUAGGUAACAGCAAACAAUUAAGUGAGAGGAGCUACUGGUAUUAUGCUGGUAAAGUAAAUAAAGCUCUUGGAGAAUAUGACACUUGGGUGAACAUUGCCCCCUUAAAUAUGUGUUUUUCGGGAAGGACAGUGGUCAGUAUAUGAAUACAUUAGUGAAAUGACACACGUGUUUGGAACUUUGGGUCUAGUUCUGUACACCAACACUGAGAAUAUGGCUAGUUUGCAGUAAGUAAUGCACCAUGAGUAGAAAUGUGGAAACUGUGCCUUGUAUGGAGGUUACUGAGAAAUUCAAAAUGUCUCAUUUAAUUUCUUCAGAGAAUUAGG